AGAGGGACCCAGGGGUCAGGGAGAGGAUGGGUGGUGGGUGGAGACAGGCUCAGUGCCCAGGUGCUGUGAAAGCCUCUAGAAAACCUGCUGGAAGGAGGCCACAACCAGUGAAGCCCAAGGUCACAGACCUGUCCUGAAGCUGCUACCUCAGGUCCUGCUGAGGGGCUCAAGGUCAGAUCUGUCCAACAGAGGGGCUGGGGAUGCUCUGCAAUGAGGGCUUUGUGGACAGUUCCUGGGUGCUGAGCCCUGUGGGAUAAUUGCCCAGAGGCCUCUCUAGGACACAGAAGAAAACCUGCCCAGGCAUGGUGGGAGCUCCAGGUAACCAGGCACAGGACAUGAGAGGGAAGGACCAGGCCGAGGAGGCCCUUUCUGCUCUGAGCUUGGAGUGGACAAGCAAGUGAUGGGCCUGAUAAUCUAUGUGAGCCUACUUCUGCUGACUCAAAAAAUCCUGAGUCUGCCAUUUAAUCCUCAAGACAAUGCCUUUCUUUCCUGAGCUCGCUCCUAUGCAGCAUUUCACAAUCAGCCUAACUGCUGGGUCUGUGGAGCACUCCCCUCUUCACCAGUGGAAGGCUUCCUGUGAUGGACAUCUCCACUUCAAGGAAAAGACUUUCUGCAAGUCUCCAAAUACCUUCCACAACAAUCAUAUGCGAUGUCGCUUCUUAAACUGAUGACAUCUAACCUUAAGAUGGACUGAUGUAACUAUGGACAUAAUGUGACUUUUCAUUUUGAUUUUAACUUGGUUUAAUGACUAUUUUGCCUUAUGUCUGUAACUGUAUAAUGGGGUUUUCUAACCAUCUAAAACUUUUAAGUUAUGCCACG